CCUAAAUACUACCCAGUGACCGAUAGCGUAUAGUACUGUGAAGGAAAGGUGAAAAGCACCCCGGGAGGGGAGUGAAAAAGAACCUGAAACCCUGUGCCUACAAGCACCUAGAGCACGUCAAUGUGUGAUAGGGUACUUUUUGUAGAACGGUCCGGCGAGCGAUUGUAUGCAGCAAGGUUAAGGACUUAAGGUCUGGAGCCGAAGCGAAAGCGAGUUUGAAAAGGGCGUUAAGUUGCAUAUAAUGGGCCCGAAACCGGGUGACCUACCCAUGGUCAGGUUGAAGUGGAAGUAAAAUUCCAUGGAGGACCGAACCGACCUCCGUUGAAAAGGCGGCGGAUGAACUGUGGGUAGCGGAGAAAUUCCAAUCGAACCCGGAGAUAGCUGGUUCUCCCCGAAAUAGUUUUAGGACUAGCCUCAAGUUAGAUACCUGGAGGUAAAGCACUGAAUAGCCUAGCGGCCGAGAGGUUAGCGAAGCUUAUCAAACUCAGAAUGCCAGAGUAUUGAUGCUUGGGAGUCAGACAGUGUCAGAUAAAUGUCAUUGUCAAAAGGGAAACAGCCCAGAUCUACAGCUAAGGUCCCAAAGUCAGGUUAAGUGGAAAACGAUGUGAAGAUACGCAGACAACCAGGAUGUUGGCUCAGAAGCAGCCACUCAUUCAAAGAGUGCGUAAUAGCUCACUGGUCGAGCGUCUUUGCGCGGAGAAUUUAACGGGGCUAAACCUGACACCGAAGCUUAGGCAAUCCAGUAAUGGAUUGGGUAGGGGAGCGUUGUAUACGCGGAGAAACAGUAGCGUAAGCGGCUGUGGAGUGUAUAGAAGUGAGAAUGCCGGAAUGAGUAGCGCGAAUGCAGUGAGAAUCUGCAUGGCCGAAAGCCUCAGGUUUUUGGAGGAAGGUUCGUCCGCUCCAAGUUAGUCGGGAGCUAAGGUGAGGCCGGAAGGCGUAGCCGAUGCACAGACGGUAGAGAUUCCGUCACCACCAAAAGAGUUAAGCACAGGGACACAUUUGAAGUCUCAGAGCCGGGUGUUGGUUCCGGUAGAGAUCGAGGGAAGUUAGUACCGAAGUCUGGGAUGGAAGAUGGCGAGAAAAGCUGUGUGUAUUUCUGAGGUGCCCGUACCGCAAACCGACACAGGUAGGUAGGAAGAAGAUUCUAAGGCCAACGGGAGAAGGGUUGUUAAGGAACUCGGCAAAUUGACCCCGUAACUUCGGGAGAAGGGGUGCUCCAGAGAUGGAGCCGCAGAGAAUCGGCCCAAGCAACUGUUUACCAAAAACACAGGUUUGUGCUAAAUCGAAAGAUGACGUAUACGAGCUGACGCCUGCCCGGUGCUGGAAGGUUAAGAGGAGAUGUGCAAGCAUUGAAUCGAAGCCCCAGUGAACGGCGGCCGUAACUAUAACGGUCCUAAGGUAGCGAAAUUCCUUGUCAGGUAAGUUCUGACCCGCAUGAAAGGCGUAAUGAUUUGGGCACUGUCUCAACAGCCCGCCCGGCGAAAUUGUAGUACCGGUGAAGAUGCCGGUUACCCGCGACAAGACGGAAAGACCCCAUGGAGCUUUACUGUAGCCUAAUAUUGGGUUUCGAUGUUGCAUGCACAGGAUAGAUGGGACACUGGGAAACAAUCGCUUUGGCGGUUGCGGAGUGGCCGUUGGGAUACCAUCCUUGCGAUAUUGGAAUUCUAACCUGCGGCUCUGAAUCGAGUCGGGGGACAUUGUUAGGUGGGCAGUUUGACUGGGGCGGUCGCCUCCUAAAAAGUAACGGAGGCGUUCAAAGGUUCGCUCAGCUUGAACGGAAAUCAAGCAAAAGAGUGCAAACGCAGAAGCGAGCCUAACUGCGAGACUGACGGGUCGAGCAGUAACGAAAGUUGGAGUUAGUGAUCCGGUGGUAUGUGAGUGGAAAUGCCAUCGCUCAACGGAUAAAAGUUACCCUGGGGAUAACAGGCUGAUCUCCCCCAAGAGUCCACAUCGACGGGGAGGUUUGGCACCUCGAUGUCGGCUCAUC
rnacentral:rRNA from 1 species